rnacentral:misc_RNA from 1 species
AACGCACAUUGCACCUCUCGGUAAUCCUUGAGGUGUACCUGUUCGAGCGCCGUUUGUGUCAUGAGGCAUUGCCUUGCGAUGACUAUUGUCCGAUUAGGACAUUGUCGAAACACAUGGGUGUCUGCUUUUGACCCGAGUUGCAGUAAAAUGCGAAUUGGCGUCAAAGGCCGGGCGGCCUGCUCAAAUAAUAUCUAAAGCAUGGCCUCGGAUCAGGUAGGGAUACCCGCUGGACUUAA